rnacentral:rRNA from 1 species
AUUGAACGCUGGCGGCAUGCCUUACACAUGCAAGUCGAACGGUAACAGGUCUUCGGAUGCUGACGAGUGGCGAACGGGUGAGUAAUACAUCGGAACGUGCCCGAUCGUGGGGGAUAACGCAGCGAAAGCUGUGCUAAUACCGCAUACGAUCUACGGAUGAAAGCGGGGGAUCGCAAGACCUCGCGCGGACGGAGCGGCCGAUGGCAGAUUAGGUAGUUGGUGGGAUAAAAGCUUACCAAGCCGACGAUCUGUAGCUGGUCUGAGAGGACGACCAGCCACACUGGGACUGAGGCACGGCCCAGACUCCUACGGGAGGCAGCAGUGGGGAAUUUUGGACAAUGGGCGCAAGCCUGAUCCAGCCAUGCCGCGUGCAGGAUGAAGGCCUUCGGGUUGUAAACUGCUUUUGUACGGAACGAAAAAGCUCUCUCUAAUACAGGGGGUGAAUGACGGUACCGGAAGAAUAAGCACCGGCUAACUACGUG